CUGCGCAUGUCCGACCUUCGUCCGCCAUCACCGUUGUGAACAGAGAAACGUACUGCACUUUCUCCGCCGAGUUUUCACUCUUUUGAGCUAUCAUCAUGUCAGACGUCCCGGCAGGCAGACUCCCCAAGCCCCAGAUGAGGGGACUUCUCAUCAGCCACCUCAAGAAGCACGGUGCCGUCGCUCUCGUGUUCGCCAUGGGCGUCACACUGGCGUACAAGAUGGCCGUCGCAGAUCCACGUAAGCGUCAUUAUGAGGAGUUCUAUAAGAACUACGAUGUGAAGAAAGAGUUCGAGGCUAUGAAGGAGGCCGGCAUUUUCCACUCGGCUCGACCCAGCUGGGAGCAGGCAGACGACUAACCCCUCAUGAUCAUCUGUAGAACAGUCACUAUAGGUUGUGAAGAGGAUUGAUUGCUGCUCCAUCCAGGAGAUUGUACAAGAUGUAAUACAUGUUUGUCCACAAUAUUUUAUGUCAUUUGAAAAGUAACACUAUACAUUGUAGUCUUGACACUGAAUAAAGAAUGUCAUAGUGUGUAAAUUUA